GCCUCCCCCAGUUAUCUAUAAAUACGGAGUCGUAGAACUCGCAUUUUCAUUCGUCGGUUUAAUUUCGCGGUUGUUUUCAUAAAAUCAUACAUGUGCAUUCAAAGGAUCGUAAUCCGCACUCCGUAAGAUAGGGUUCUUGUGGCUCUAUGUAUUCAUCGCACAAUUCUUGUCUUGUUUUCUGUCUUGACUAGUGAUGAUGGAUUUCGUCAAGUUUGACUAGUGAUGAUGGAUUUCGUCAAGUAUGGGUUCCUUUAUGAUAUUCUUUUGGGUGAUGUUAUUUGUGAAUUUGUUGAUCGAGGUUCUUUUGUUGAAGAUCGAAAUCUCUCUCUGGUUUUCUCGGUUGAUGGACUACCAAGCUGUCAUUGUGACCUGAUUUUAUCGAGUGCCGUUGUGUGCCGGGGAAUGAGGUUGGAUUAUGGUACUCUAUUUCUAGGUGAUGUUGGCUUUUGUGAUGUUGAUGCUUAGAUUAUUGCAUUGUUUCUGUUGGUCCAUGUAAGUCUGAUGCCCAAGCUAUUAGAUUACUUUUGUUCAGAUUGGUGGAUCAUGUUGUCAAGAUUCAAGAUUAUUUUUUUGAAGAUUCCAAGACUCUCUGGUUUAUUUGCAAUCAACUUGAUGAUAAUCGAAGCUAUCUUGAGAUAGUGAUGGAGUUCUGCAAUUUCUUCAAAUCUUUUACGUGAACAAAACAAAUUGGACGGGAUUUAUUUCUUUUAACAUUUUGACCAGAGUUUCAAGUAAUAUUAUUGGAUUUGGUCGUUGUUGUGACCUACAGAUAUCUCUUCUGCGUGUGCAGAUGAUUCCAUGAGUUGAAGCACUAGGUGUGGCAUUGCUUUUGUUGAUAGGCAACAUGUUGAAGUUCUUAUUGCAAACCAUGGGUUUACAGAUGGUCGUCUGGUUUUGGGAAAGCAAUUACCCAUACUGAUCCCACUCUUGAAUUCUUUUAAUUUUGGUGGUUCAUUAGGUGCAAUAAUGAUAACUAUUGCGUUCUUUGGAAUGCCUGAUUGGGAUGUUAUUAUAGGUAGUCCUCUGGAUGAUCUCAUGAAAGGAAACAUUGAUCGGUGCUGGCAUGCUCGGGUAACAAAAGUUGGUUCUUGCAUCCGAUAUUAACUUGGAAACGAAUCCAGUUUGGAUCAUGGCCUCCAUUGGUUUGGAUAACCCUCAUCAGAUUUAUUUUUAUUUUUAUUUGGUAUGGUUUGGUUUGUUUUGGGAGGCUUGCUUUCAUUAGUAUUGGCGUUGAAAUUUUGUGCCAUUAGGUUCUAUGUGAUGCUCUUAUGGGAUUCAAUAAUGGGGAACAGAUGGUAUUGUUUGAUGCUCCUUGAGAUUUCUGGAUUUCUUCUGCGCUUUGUGUUGCAUUAUGUUAUCAGUAUUUUUUUAUUGGAUCAUUGCGGUGGCUUUUUGACAAGUAUGGGGACUAGUUAUUUUGACUGGUUUUGUUUUGGAUUUGUGCAAGUCCCCAUAGAUCUGUGCUGUGGCCACAGGGAUUUAUUUCUAGUGGUUUAGGGAGAUCUGCUGAAUUCUAUUCUAGUAAUUUAGCUGUUUUAACGCAGCUAUUCAUCUUUGGUAAUUGAAGUUGUCCAGAAUGGCUCAUGCAGAAUGGCUCGUGUUGGAACAUUCACACUUUGAUUGGGGGUUAUCAUGUUUUAAGCAACUUUCUUAUUACCCUUCCAUAAUACUCCAUUUUCAAUUCUGGUUUUUUUUUUUUUAUAACUUUACUCUUAUUGAUCUCUGGCCAUUAAUGUUAUUUAUAGGUGCAUCAUAGAUUUGAGGAAUGGUGUUGGCUGGUGGUUGUGGGAUGGGGUCUGUUUCUUAUUGUUUUCAGUCUCACAUAUACAGAUGUGGAAUUUGCUCUCUGGAACAUGAAGAUAGGGUCUGCAUGUUGGACUUAUUGGUUUGGGCUUAUUUACGUCUAUUGUUUUCUACUUGAUUUCUGGGCGUUUUGUUGAGUAUUAAACUCUCAGUUUCUGUUGUCUUUGUUGUCUCUAGGUACAAUGGUGAUUGUCUUUCAAUUAUUUUUGGCCAGUCCAUGGAUCCACAUUUCUCUUCAUGGUUUAACAGAUUGUGAUUCUCUAUGGGAGCGAAACUAUGCCUGUUUAGUUCCAUCUCUGAUGCUUCUUUAUUUGGUGGCAUUUAUAUAGUAAGGAUAGAGACUAAAAUGUCUCCGUAACUUCAUUUUCUAGCGCAUGAUUUUUGUUCACGGAUUGGAGCAUGGGAGGAAGUUUCAGGUUUGCUGCUGCAAAACAAUUGGUUUGUCAUGUUGCGUCCCGUUGGUCCCAUCACCCUGUAUUCUUCUAAAACUUGGGAGUAUAGUCUUAUUUUUCUAUUUGAUGUUCUGUAUCGUAUUUUUCUCUUCUAUCUUUCGAUCUUAUUCUUUGGUUCAUAGUGACUAUUCCUCAGGGUUCUUAUAUGGUACUAGGUUUAAUGUACCUUGUAAGUUUGCUAUGUAGUGUAUGUUAGUUUGAUCAUGCCAUCUUCUUUUUCUACUUAAUGAACUUUCUUGUUCGUGGUGAGUGAUUUUGUGCUCCUGUAUUUUCAUGCUUUGAAUUUCUGAGCACGUUCUCAGUGAACUUUCUUAGUUCACUGAUUGGUGAAGUUUCUUAGUUUUGGGGUGGAUUUGUACCCAACCUAAUUUGUUGGGUUUCUUAAUCGCUGUGGAGUAUUUGUCCUCCCUGAUUAGUGAUGGUUUCUUGAUUUGGUUUCCUGGAAUUUUUCCUGUACUGGGUUUUGAGGUGUCAGGGGUUUCUUAUAUGGUGAUUUACAGUUUUUGUUUUAUUAUUAGUUGUUCUAAAAUUUCUGCUCUUGUUUUGAUUUAUUUAUUGUGUAUUUUGAUUAUAUAUGUGUGCUUCUUAGGGUUUCAUAUGGUUUUUUUAUUCUGGAUGUAUUUCAUGCCUUUUUGUGAAUCAGUUCUUGGUUUGUUAAUUUUGAUUUUGGGGUCUUUUUAUAAUUCCUUGGAUUUGCUUGGGUCACCUGAUUUGUUUGUUUUUUUUAUUUCACUCAGUUUUGUAAAGAUUCUCUUCAUCUUAUAAUUUUAGGCCCUCUUCUGUGGAUUUCCCUGGGCUCCUUAUUUAUCUUGAGUCCUUUUUAGGGUAUCUUGAGACCUUACCAGACUCUGCAUUCAAGGGAUAUUAACCUAAGCUCUGCAAUAUAGUUGAUUCUCUGCAAGAUAGGCUUCUUGUUGUAUUAUGUUAAUUGAAUCUCAAAUCCUCCAGUUACCUCCUCUGCUUCCUCUUGGAUAAUCUGUUUUGUUGAUUCCUUGCAGUAUGACUAGUUAUGGUGGAUUUUGUUGACUCCCAAGGGGCGUCACACUCUUCUUCUCCAGGUGAUGUUCUGUGAAUUUGUCCAUGACUGGUUCUUUUGUUCAAAUAUAAAACUCUGGAUCUUUUUUUUUUAUAUAAUAUUAAAUUAUUGAUACAGAGCCAUUAUAACCUGAUUUUAUCGAGUGCCAUUGUAUGGAGAGGAAUGAGGUUUGAUUGCUGAAUUCUUUUUCUUGGUGAUGUUGGAUUUUUGUAAUGCUGAUGCUUGAGUGAUCACAUUUGCAUGUAGUUAUGAUGCCUAAGCUAUUGGGUUACCUAAGAUCAAUUCAUUGAUAUUAUGUUAUUCAAAAUUCAAUAUUAUUACUCUGGGAUAUUUGAGAUAGUGAAGGGGGAUGUAGUUAUGAUGCCUAAGCUAUUGGGUUACCUAAGAAUAAUUCAUUGAUAUCAUGUUACUCAAAAUUCAAGAUUAUUACUCUUGGAUAUUUGAGAUAGUGACGGGGGAGUUCUGGUGUCCAUACUUUUAGGGGAGUGAAGGAAAUUGGAUGUUGGUUAUUUCUUCUAGUGUCCUAAUAAGUAAGAGUUCAAGUGGUAUUGUUAUAUUUAGUUGUUGUGAUUUAGAUAUAUCUCUUCUGCAUAUGCAGCUCAUUGGAGGAGUUGAACCACUAGAUGUUGCAUUGCCUCUAAUGAUAGGCAACAUGUUGGAGUACUUGUCUCAAACUGCUAGUCAACAGAUGGUUGUGUUUUGGAAAAAUAGUUAGCCUAUAUUGAUCUAUCUUUUAAUUCUUUUAAUCCUGGUGGCAGUUAUUAGGUGCAAUAGUGAUUCUCUAUUUGCAUUUUUUAGGAUACCAGAUUAUAGUAUAGUUGAUCCUUUUGGAUGAGAAGAAGGAAACUGUCGGAUGCUGCUGUGCUUCUACAGGAACUAGGUAUUUUGACUGGAUUGGUUUCAGACUUGUGCAAGUUGUUGAUCUGUGCGUCGGCCAUUGGGAUUUAUUUCUUGUGGUUUAAGGUGACCUGAUGAAUUCUAUCAGUUCAAUUCAAUUGAAUGUUUCUAAGUUUGUUAUAACCUGGGGAUACAUAUUUGGUACUUAAAGCUGCACAGAAUGGCUCAAGAAAGUUAUUUGGGAACACUCGCAUUUAGAUUUAGGGGUUAUCUUGUUUUGGGCAACUUCCUUGUUGCCUUACCCUUCCUGUGUUCUUCAGUUUAAAUUCUACAUUUUUGGUUUGUUUUUUGGACUUUAGAGAUUAGUCGCCGUUCUUGUUAUUUAUAGGUGCAUCAGAGGAUUGGCUGAGUUCUUUUUAAAAAUAGUGCCCUUAAGUUGCUUGUGAUGCUUCUUGGAGGCACAUAUGGUAUUGUUUGAUAUUCCACUGAGGUUUCUGGAUUUCUUCUAAACUUUAUGUUGAGUUAUUUUAUGAGUUACAUUAUUUUAUUGGAUCAUUUCCACACAGCUUCACAAGGACAUCCUUGGCCACUGGGAUUUAUUCCUAGUGGUUUUUGGUGACCUGAUGAAUUCUAUCAGUUCAAUUUCGUUUUAUGUAUAUAAGUUUGUUUGUUAUAACCUGGAUAUGCAUCUUUGGUACUUGUAGCUGCGCAGAAUUGCUCAAGACGGCUGUGUUGGAGCGCUUGCAUUUAUAUUCGAGGGUUAUCCUAUUUUGAGCAACUUCCUUUUUACCUCUGAUCCUUCCCUUGUUCUUCAGGCAGUAAUGCAGGCAUAUAUGGUAUUGUCUGAUCCAGGGAGGUUUUUGGAUUUCUUCUGAGCUUUAUGUUGAAUUAUUUUUUAGUAACAUUAUUUUAUUGAAGCAUUGCCGCACAUCUCGACGACUGUAGACUACAAGAACUAGCUAUUUUGAGUGGAUUGGUUCUGGACUUGUGCAAGGUUAAAGAGACGUGCUGAAUUCUAUCAGUUCAAUUUAGUUGUGUGUUUCUAAGUUUGUUUGUUAUAACCUGGAGAUACUUGUGUGGUAUUUGCAGCAGCGCAGAAUGGCUCAAGACAGUUGUGUUGGAAUACUAGCAUUUAGAUUGGGGGGUUAUCCUAUUUUAGACAACUUCCGUAUUACUUACCCUUCCCUUGUUCUUCAGUUUACAUUCUAUAUUUUUUUGGUUUGUUUAAAUUUGGUCUUUUAGAGAUUGGUUGUGCCAUUCUUGUUGUUAUUUAUAGGUGCUUUAAAGUAUUGGCUUACUUUAAAAAUAUUGUGCCCUUAGGUGCCAUGUGAUGCUUUUCUUGGAGGCAGUAAUGAAGGCGUAUAUGGGCAUCAUUUGAUGUUCCACAGAGGUUUCUGUAUUUCAUCUUAUGUUGAAUUAUUUUGUCAGUCUCAUCCACCUCGCAUGCGCGCCAUACCCGCCCGAGCGGGGACCGACGUGAAGACCAAGCUCCGACCAAGGAGUUUUAAAAGCAGACAAAAACAAGGAAAGGGAGCUGGAUUCAGACUAAGUUGACAGAAAAAGUACAAGAGGCUUUCUCUAGUUAUCAAAGAGGGUGAUUCAACCAGACGUGUCCCACAAAUCAAGGUGUAUCAGAGUAUUGGCUGAGUUCCGUCAAAAAAUAUUGCGCCCUUAGGUGCCAUGUGAUGCUUUUCUUGGAGGCGUAUAUGGUGUCGUUUGAUGUUCCACUGAGGUUUAUGGAUUUCUUCUGAACUUUAUGUUGAUUUAUUAUAUAGCAUCAUUAUUUUAUUGGAUCAUUGCCACACAUCCUGAUGAAUACAUGCUACAGGAACUAGCUAUUUUUACUGGAUUGGUUUCGGACUUGUUCGAGCUUGUAGAUUCAUGCUUUGGACUUGCUUUCUUGUUGUCUAGCCUAUAGAUGCUUUUUGUUAAUCAUCUGAUGAUCCUCUUUCGUCUUGGUGAUGCAGCUCCGUGGCAUAGGGCUACUGGGUGGGCUUUAUUUGGUUUCUAUAAGAUUUCUGUCUGGACACGUGGACAAUAUGAGGUGACGAGAUUGCCACGAACAAUCAAAUGUCAGAAACAUCGCGUACCAUUUAUAGAGCUCUGGUGAAUGGGUGUAAGUUAUCCUUGAUAUCUGUGGAUGUCAAUUUCUUUGUUGAUACAUUCUAUAUUGGCUUGUGUCUGGGUAGUUCCAUCUUUGGUGUCUGUAACAGUGACUCUCCAGUGGUGAACCAGGGGCGCCAACACACAUGGAAUGGCGAUAGGUGCACAAGUUUAUUAAUUGAGAACUGGUUGCAAAGUGAAAGAUGGUUUGAUUUGUGGCUCUUGCCCUGGUCUGUGUGAACUGCAAUUGUCUGAGUUGUUUAGUGUUGGUUCACCUUUUGGUUUGAGAUGGAAUGAGGAUGAAAAGUCACCUGAGAUAUGCAUUUAUUGGUUUUUUUAGAUAUCGGAGAUAGAAGAGAAGGGAUUUGGUGACGUUGUCCAUUCACUCUUUACUUUUUUAAAUGUGGUUCUUUUUACGCAGGAUUUUCUAUAGCUGAUUUACCUGUAAGAGCCGUUGUAUAUCGGUCCAUUCCUACACAAGAUACUAUUUUUUGUCUUUUAUUAUGCUCUUGACAAUAUGUUGUGUUUGUUUUUUCUAUAUCUGGGCUUUGCCUCUAUAUUGGGGGGGAUGUUGGGCUGUUUUUUGGGCGGAAUCAGUAUGGUACAGUGAUAUACUUUUUCUCUUUGUUUGUAAAGGUUUAUAUGCUGAUUCUGAAGUCUUAGUUUGCAUUUAUUGUUCUCAUUAGGUACCGUGUUGAUUUGCCCAUGUAAUCGGAGGCACACAUUGGACUGUUUCGAGUUUGUUGUCUAGCUGUGUCGUUUGAUUUAUUUGGACUCAACUUUGGACCUUCUUUCUUGUUGUCUAGCCUAGAGUUGCUUUCUGUUAAUUAUAUGAUGAUACUCUUGUGUCCUGGCGAUGCUGUAGGUGGGGGUGCUAUAUAUCGAUUGGUUGUUUGCUCGAUGGGCUCCAUGGCAUAUGGCUGCUGGGUGGGCUCUUUUUGGUAUGUUCUAAUUAUAGUGAAUUGUUUUGGAUCUCUCAGAGGUAUAUACACUGGUUGUUAUAUUGGGGCUUUCGGCUGCAUCAUGGUGCUAGCAACCAUAUUGUCAACUGAUUUGUAUUUCAGUUUCUUGUUGCAUUUUGUUGGAUGGCUGGCAGUUAGGUUUCUAUAUGCUUUCGGACUGGAACACAUGGACGGUAUGAGGUGAGGAGAGUGCUAGUAACAUUCAAAUGUUAGAAACAUCGUGUACCAUUUAUAGAGCUCUGGUGAAUGGGAGUAAGUUAUCCUUGGUAUCUGUGGAUGUCAAUUUCUCUGAUGUAUAUUGGCUUUCUGCCUGAUCUACGAGGUGUCUGGGUAGUUCCAUCUUUGGUGUCUAUAAUAGUGACUCUCCAGUGGACGAGGAGCGUCAACACACAUGGAAUGGGGGCGUAUGCACAGGGUUAUUAAGUGAGAACUGGUUGCAAAGUUGAAGAUGGUUUGAUCUGUGCCUCUUUCCCUGACCUAUGUGAAUUGCAGUUGUCUGUGUUGUUUAGUUUUGGUUUGAUCUACAUGUUCUUCUAGUCACCUUUUGGUUUGAGAUGGAAUGAAAAGUCACUUGAGAUAUUCAUUUAUUGGUUUUUCAAAGAUCGGAGGUGGAAGAGAAGGGAUUUAGUGAUGUUGUUCAUUCACUCUUUAGUGUUGGUUUAACUUAUACGUUCUUCUUCUAGUCACUUUUUGGUAAUCGAUCAAUGUUCCUUUCUAGAUUUUGAGAUGGAAUGUGGGUGAAAAGUCACUUGAGCUGUGCAUUGGUUUUUCAGAUAUCGGAGGUGGAAGAGAUGGAUUUGGUGAUGUUGUCCAUUCACUCUUACUUUUUUAUUGGUGGUUCCUUUUAUGCAGGAUUUUUAGCUGAUUUGCUUGUAGUAGCUAUUGUAUAUUGGUCCAUCACUAUACAUGAUGCUAUUUUUUCUCUUUUAUUGAGCUCUUGACAGCAUGCUGUGUUGUUUUCUUCGGUAUCUGGGUUUGUAAUGUUAGAUUAUCAUCUUGCUGUCAUUAUUGAUUCAUGGAUCUGUUGAGAUGUUAGGUUUCUAUGUGCUUUUUGAUUGGAACAUGUGGACAAUAUGAGGUGAAGGGUCACUUGGUGUGACAGUAAAAGGCUCGGGUUGCCAGCCCAAGAGCGUGGGUUCAAGUCCUAAGAGCGGCAACUUUGUGCAUAAAAGCCAAAGGUUAGGACCAUUUCCAGCUCACCCUUCCCGGGACCCUGUGUAGAUAGGACCAGCAUCGGGUUACGGCCUUUUUAUUGUGGUUUAUGGGAUGAUGGUUGUGUUUUUAUUUCAGUAUGCUUAAAGUCAUGGCUUCAAAGGUCUAAUCUAUUGUAAUCUCUGAAAGAUAAUCAACUAUCCGGAAGAUAGGCUUGUUGCUUUAUGUUUGGGCCUUCCUUUAUGAUUUAAUUGAGUCUACCAAUUCUCCAAGUUUUCCCUCUGAUUCUUCUCUGGUAUUGUUUCUUGGUGAUUGCUUGCAGAGUUCUGCUGGAUUUUGUUGACUCCUAAUGCUAUUGCACUUAGGCUGCCCUCUGACUCUCCUCUAGGUGAUGUCGUUAAAGAGGUGUUCUUUUGUUCAAGUAUUGAAAAUUGCUCUUUGGUUCUUCUUGGUUAUCGAUUAGAGAGCUAUCAUUGUAACCUGACUUUAUAGUUUGCUAUUGUUUGUGGAGGAAUAAGGUUUCAUUACCAUACUCAGUUCUGAUGCCUAAGCUAUUGUGGGUUACUUCUAUUCAGUUUGUUGUAUCAUGUUGCUGAAAUUUUAAGAUUAUUUCUUUGGAUUAUUUACAAUCAACUUGAUGCAGGUAGAAAUCAACUUGAUGCAGAUAGGGGUUGAGGAGUUCUGCAAGUUGUUCCAUUUUGUUCUUGAAGCAAUGCAAAUUGGAAGGGGAUUACUUCUUUUAAUAUUCUGAUCAGUUUGAUAUCGAAUGAUAAUAUUACCAUUGGUCAUCAUGGUUGAUCUAGAGAUAUCUUUUUUGCAUAUGCAGAUUAUUGGAUGAGUUGAGACACUAGUUGUUGCAUUGUGUCUGGUUGAAGGGCAACAUGUUGAAGUGUUUAUGUCAAACCAUGGAUUCGUUGAUGGUUUGUAGUGUUUUGGGAAAACAGUUACCUCAUCUUGAUGCCACUUUUCAAUUCCUUUUAGGUGUAAUAGUGAUCACUCUCUCCAAUUUUUGGGAUGCCUAAUUAUAGUGAGUCCUCAUCGAUGAUUUCAUGAGGGGAACUUUGUGGAUGUUGCUGGGCUCCUGACAUAAGUUGUUCCUGCAUUUGAUAUCAACCUGGAUUUUAAUUUGGUUUGUGCAUUAUGGACUCAUUAGGUUUGGAUAACCCUCAAGAGAUUGUAUUUGGUUUGGUAUUGUUUUGGGAGACUUGCAUUCACUUGACUUGCUUUCAGGGUAUUGGCUUGUUGAAAAUUUCGUGAUCUUGGGUGCCCCGCUAUUGGAGGCAAUAGUGGAGGCGUACAUGGUAUUUGUUUGAUGUUCCUCUUGGGAUUUCUGGAUUUCUUUUGUUCUGUGUUGAAUUAUUUUAUCAAUAACAUCUUUUUUAUUGUAUCAUUGCUGAAAAUGACGAGUACAAGAACUAGCUAUUUUGACUGUAUUGGUUAUGGAGUUAUGCAAGUUCCGAGAUCUGUGCUGUGGUCAUAGGGAUUUAUUUCUUGUGGUUUUUGGUAGGCAGCUGAAUUCUUAGUUUAAUUGUUCACUAAAAAAAAAAAUAUCUUAGUUUAAUUUGGUUUGUUUUUUAAGUUGUGGUAUGAUGUGGAGAUACAGUUCGUGCAAUAUGAUCAUGCAAAAUGGCUCAUGAUAGUCGUGUAAGAACAAUCAUCCACGCUUAGUGUUAUCUACCUUACCUCUUUGUUUUAUGUUUUUGUUAUUUGUGUUUCAAAACAUUUUGGAGCUGACCUUCAAUGGUUUGUACUGAUAUUAUCCAUGGAUGGAGAAAUGUGUCCGUUAGAGGUUUGGAAGAUGAGAUUGUAGCAUUCUUUUGAAGUUCAUCUGCAUAUUCAGUCUUUAGUAUCCUUGACAUCUGGUCUUUAUUUUCUUCUUGACUGAUUUUGUCCUAGUUACACUCUUAUGUUUGGCAGUGUCGGUCCAUCUGUUUGUUCACUUUAGUUGCUCCCUCUUGAUGUGUGCUCUUCUUGGGGUGGGAGGUUAUUCUUGCAUUUUGCCAUUUUAAUAAUAUAUGUGGAUGAGAUGAAUUUUGUGUUUUAAGAAUGUUGGGCUUUUCUUUGCUUCAUCAGUUGCUUCUUGUUGCUGCUGGAUUCUCCAUUGUUGAGCACACACUGGGGAGGGGAAGUUGCUGCCACUAUGCAAUGUUUGCUUUGAUGUACAUCUGACAUGAAUCCAGCAAAUUUUAAUCUUCGUGCGACAUUGAGCACACACUGAGGAGGGGAAGUUGCUGCCACUAUGCAGUGUUUGCUUUGAUGUACAUCUGACAUGAAUCCAGCAAAUUUUAAUCUUCGUGCGACAUUGUGUUCAACAGUUGUGCCUGAUUUUAUUGGUGCCAUCUCAGGAAAAUGCUGGUGUUGGUGUCGAUGUUAGAGAAGCCAUUGUGGGUAUAUUCCAAAUUUACGUCUAUAUGGGAUUUCACUGUCGCGUCUGUAUGGCUCUUUCCUUGUCAUAUUGGAAGUUAAUUAUUUUUUAUUAUUGAACAUGUAAAUAUUUGGUGGUUAGGUAAUGCUAUUUUGUACAAGAAAAUCGUGUCCCAGUAGCUGCAUCUGCUAUGUACAUAUUGUAGUUCUUUUUGUAAAAUAUGUGAAUGAAUUGGAUCGAUCUUCUAUCUAGACAUGAAUUCAUGGAUUAGAAUAAAAAUGUGGAGGUACGAUAUCUUUUGUCUUCUGACUCUUACACUAGCAGUUCAAAAAUUUAAAUUUGGUCCCUUAUGUGAGUUAACAUUCACUCUUAACUAUUGGAUGUGAAAUCUGCGUUUGAACUUCGUACCCAAUCGAUGAAUGAUCUGAGCGUUGUAUAAAAAAAUAAGAAGUUUUAUUAUAUAUUUUUUUAUCAAAAGUAAAUGGCCUUAUUAUGUAUAUUUUGUAAAUUUUUAGUUUCAGGUUGCACAUAUCUGGUUUAUGUUGGAAUUGUGAAUGUUUGUUUCGGUUAAAAAUUGAUAUUGUAUAUUUAUAAAAAUUUAAAAGGAAAUGCCAUUUGUUAAGUAGAUAAUUUCCAAUUGAAGAAGUCCAAUCGGGGGAUUAUGCGUGGAAGUUCUGGAUUAGUGAGGGGUGGCGGAAAAAAUUUUGUCAAUUUGUAAGGAUUCGGGUUAGAGUGUGUUGCCGUGAAGUAAUUAUUGUAAGAUCUAGAGUUCCUCUAUUGAAAAGAGGGUUGUAUAUCUUCCAUUAGUUACGGAUAUCUGUUGUGUUUCUUUUGUUACAAAUUGCAUAUUAAAGAGAUAAUUUGAGAAAUUUCAAGUUUUGUUUGGUGGUGUAGCCAACCGUGAGGGUGUUACAUUGGGUGUCAAAUCUAUUGUGGUCUUUGGGGGCAUAUUAUCUUUACCAUCAAGUAUUCCUUUUUCCUCUAAAAUUUAAAGAUCCAUCUAAGAUCAUUGUUUUAAAAGAAAUUGAAUUUGACGUCUCAACACUUAGAUUUUGUCUUCUAAAAAUAUUAGGAUUAUCUUAUUCAAUUUUGAGAUGUGUUUGGGGCAUUUCAUGUGCAUUAUCUUCUAUUUUUUCUUUUCUCUCUCCCCCCACCCCCAAAAAAAAAGAUUGGUUGUUAAGAUCGAAAUUUUGCCCGUUCAAAAUUUGGUGCCCAUGGGACACACUUAGAAUGGGCUUUGCUGGAGGGAGCAAGUGGGCUCUAUGAAAAUAGAUUAAUAGUGUACCUUAUGCAAUAAACAUCAUCAGAAAGAUGACAAACAUCAUUUCUAAAUCUCGGUUAACUUCAUUCUAAAUCUACGUUCGAAUUUUUUUUUUUUUUGAGUCACUUUGAUACAAAGCAUGGUUGAAUUUAUAUCGCGCUGUACACAUACAAGUAAAACUUUCACGCUUCUGAAAAUUUUUAGAAAUUAUAUAUCACAAGAAAAUCGUUUCAUUGUGCUCUUUUUCUGAUUGAUUUUUACUGUCCUUUGAUUACUUUUGUGUGGUCUUAGGGUUUCGUUUGUAUUUUUUCUUUCUAGAUCACUGUCAUGCUUCUUGGCGAAUCACUUCUUGUUGAUCUUUGACAUUUCUUGAUUUUAAAAUUGGGAUCUUACUAUAAUAGGGUGUUUUGAGUUCUUUCGGUUUCUUGAUUUUACUCAGAUCUACAAAGAUCGUUUUUAUAUAUUGAUGGGCUCCUUAAUCAUGUUCAAGGAGUGAUGGUUCUAUUUUUGUUUCAGACAUCUUACAUGUGCAUUCAAAGGAUCGUAAUCUACAUUCUGUAAGAUAGGGUUCUUGUGGCUCUUAUGUAUUAAUCUCUCAGUUCUGCGGUUACCUCCUCCAGUUCUUGUCUGGUUUUCUGUCUUGGUGAUUGCUUUGCAGUUUGACUAGUGACGAUGGAUUUUGUUGAGUCUGGGUUCCUUUAUGAUACUAUUUUGGGUGAUUUUAUCUGUGAAUUUAUUGAUGGAGGUUCUUUUGUGGAAGAUCAAAAUCCCUCUCUGGUUUUCUCUGUUGAUUGAUUACCAGGCUAUCAUUGUGACCUGAUUAUCGAGUGCCAUUGUGUGCCAGGGAAUGAGGUUGGAUUAUGGUACUCUAUUUCUAGGUGAUGUUGGCUUUUGUGAUGCUGAUAUUUAAGUUAUUGCAUUGCUUUUGUUGGCCCAUGUAAUUCUGAUACCUAAGCUAUUAGAUUACUUCUGGUCAGAUUGGUGGAUCAUGUUGUCAAGGUUCAAGAUUAAUUUUUUGAAGAUUCCAAGACGCUCGGGGUUAUUUGCAAUCAACUUGAUGAUAAUAGAAGAUCUCCAUCUUGAGAUAGUGAAGGAGUUCUGCAAAGUUUUCAAAUUUUUUAGGGGAACAAAAACAUAUUGGACCGGUGUUAUUUCUUUUAAUAUUUUUAUCAGAGUGUAUUUGGUCAUUGUUGUGAUCUACAGAUAUCUCUUCUGCAUGUGCAGAUGAUUCCAUGAUUUGAAGCAUUGGGUGUGGCAUUGCUUUUGGUGAUAGGCAACAUGAUGAAGUGCUUAUUGCAAAUCAUGGAUUCACAGAUAGUCGUCUGGUUUUGGGAAAACAACUACCCCAUACUGAUCCCACUUUUGAAUUCUUUUAAUUUUGGUGGUUCAUUAGGUGCAAUAAUGAUAACUAUUUCGUUCUUUGGGAUGCCUGAUUAUAGGUAGUCCUCUGGAUGAUCUCAUGAAGGGAAAUGUUGGUCGGUGCUGUCAUGCUUCUAUAACAAAAGUUGGUUUUUGCAUCCGAUAUCAACCUGGUUGGUUUGGAUCAUGGACUCCAUUGGUUUGGAUAACCCUCAUCAGAUUUAUUUAUUUUAUUUGGUAUGGUAUGGUUUGUGUUGGGAGGCUUGCUUUCUUGAGUAUUGGCUCAGUUCCUGUUGAAAUUUUGUGCCCUUAGGUUCUACGUGAUGCUCUUAUUGGAUGCAAUAAUGGGGCCACAAAUGGUAUUGUUUGAUGUUCCUUGAGAUUUCUGGAUUUCUUCUGCGCUUUGUGUUGCAGUAUUUUAUCUGUAAUUUUUUAUUGGAUCAUUGCCGCCCUUUUUGUCAAGUAUGGGAACUAGUUAUUGUUCACCGUUCUUGUUAUUUAUGGUUGUGCCAUAGAUUUGAAGAAUGGUGUCUGCUGGUGUCUGUAGGAUGCGAUUCUCACCUUCUGUUUGUUUAGAUGUUCAGUGGCACAUAUAUAGAUGUGGAGUUUGCUCAUUGGAACAUGAAGAUAUAAUCCCACAUGUUGGGGAUUUUUUUUAUUUGGUUUUUAUUUUAGUCCAUUGCUUUCUACUUAAUCUUUGGAGGUGUUUUUCUUGUUUAUCUUACUCAGUUCCUGUUAUCUUGUGUCUUUAGAUACCAUGGCGUUUCUCUUUCGUUCUUUUCGGCUUAUUAAUGGAUAUACAUGUCUGUUUGCUUGAUUGUUUAUUCCAAAAUUAAAGUUUGUCACUCUGGGUUAUUUGUUCUCUACUUGAGAGGAUUUGAGUGUGCAAAGUAUUAUUCUUUGUAGUGGAAAGCAUCUUGGAAUGGUGUUAUUUUGUAUAAAUGCUUUUCAUUUUGGAUCCUUACUGUCUUUAUUUUGAUUGACACAAAGUUGUUUCUUCUGAAUUUGCAGCUCUUUGCAGGUUCUAAAACUUUGCUUCUCCUUCCUUUCUCAAUGAUGCCGAUCUCCGUUCAUGGUUUUACUGGGCAUGAGUUUUUGUCGUGAUUUGGAGGAUGGGAGAAGGUUCUCAGGUUGCUGCUCUGCUGCUACAAAACAGUUGGUUUGUCCUAACGUAUCACAUUGUUCCCAUGUUUCUGUGUUGUUCUGGAAUUUCUUGUUGGGAAGCAAUGAAGAAUUCUUCAUGGUGUUGCGUGUUGUUACGAACUGUUUCUGAUUUUGUGUUCUAUUGAAGUCUCAAAAUUGAUAUUUUUGGUCGGUCGUAUUUUCCCAUCUGAUGUUCUGUGCCGUACUUCUCUUUUUCUUCUUCUUUUUUUGAUGCUAUUCUUCGUUUCUUGGUGACUAUCUGUCAGGUUUCUUCUUAUAUGGUCCUCUACAUUUCAUGUAUUGUGGUGUCUGUGGUAUUUUACUAUUGUGUGUUAUUUUUAUGAUACUUUCUUGUGUUGUGCUUAUUUUCUAAUUAAUGGAUAAUGGACUUUUUAUCUUGUGAUGUGUAAUGUUGUGCUUGUCCGUCUUGUCACUCGCUGGAUUUCUGAAAUCUGAACUUGUUCUCAGUGAACUGGUUCUUGAUUUGUAAAGGGCAUCUACUCUUGUAUAAUAUUUGUUUGUUAGCUUCUUCAGCUUGCUCUCUUUAUUCAUCCUUCGAUCCUUGAAUCAAGAGUUUGGCCAUCCAUUUCUUCUAGAGGCUUUCCUUUUGUUCUGCUUCCUGUUAUGAAUCCUUUUAGUAGGUUGUGUUCGUAUUUCUGUUGUAGGUUGUGCUUGUUGCCUCAUCAUAUUGUCCAUUUGGAGAAUAUGGGUUUUGUCAGAUACGCUUCUUUUGGUGUUAUUUUAGGACUUCUCUCUUACAAUUGUCUUUUCAACUUAUCUGUAAGUUUCUUCGUGGUUGCGGUCUAAAUGGUGCUCUUGGUUUUUGCCAACUCCAGUUGUUAUUAUCCUAUGAUGGUUGUAUUUCAGCUCUGAAGUUAUCAGUGCCAUGGAUUGUAGGGUUCAUUGAAAUUAAUUUUCAAAAAUUCUGUUGUAUAUGGCUGUCAACUUUGGUUUUGAGAAACGGCAUUAUGGAGUUUCAAAUUAUUAAUUUAGAUAAUUUUCUCCUUUUGAUUUUGAGUUAUUCCUCAAUCCCUCCUCUCUGGUUUGUGACUUUUGAAGAAUAUGGAUUUUGUUAGUGAUUUUGACUUAUUCCUCAAUCGCACCUCGCUGGUUUGUGGUUUUUUGAAGAAUAUGGUUUGGUCAGAUAGGCUUCUUUAGGUGUUUUCGUAGGGACUUGUCUCGUUGGUUUUUGUCAACUCCAGUUGUCAGGAUAGAUAUUAUCCUAUUAUGGUUGUAUUUCAGCUCUGAAGUUAUCACUGCCAUGGUUUUUAGGGUUCAUUGAAUUAAUUUUUCAAAAGUCUGUCAACUUCGGUUUUGAGAAACAGUAUUAUGGAGGUUCAAAUUAUAUAUAUUACACCUCAAGAUUAAUUUGGAUAAAUUUCUCCUUUUGAUUUUGACUUAUUCCUCAAUCGCUCUCUGCUUCGUGGUUUUUGAAGAAUAUGGGUUUUGUCAGUGAUCUUGACUUAUUCCUCAAUUGCUCCUCUCUGGUUCGUGGUUUUUGAAGAAUAUGGGUUUUGUCAGUGAUUUUGACUUAUUCCUCAAUUCUUCCUCUCUGGUUCAUGGUUUUUGAAGAAUAUGGAUUUUGCUAGAGGCUUCUUUUGGUGUUAUUUUAAGAUUUGUCUCUUACAGUUUUCACUUCAACUUAUCUACUAGUUUUCUUCAUGGUUGCAGUUUAAAUAGUUCUCUUGGUUUUGUUAGCUCCGGUUGUUGUUAUCCUAUUAUGGUUGUAUUUCAUCUCUGAAGUUAUCACUGCCAUUGUUUUUAGGGUUCAUUGAGUUAAUUUUCAAUAACUUCUGUUGGUAUAUGGCUGUCAACUUUGCUUUUGAGAAACAGCAUUAUGGAGGUUCAAAUUAUAUUACAUGUCAUGAUUAAUUUGGGUAAUUUUCUCCUUUUGAUUUUGACUUAUUCCUCAAUCGCUCCUUUCAAAUUUAAAAGUGAUUUAAUUACAUGGAUUUCAUUGCAUUGCUUUAAAUUUCUAGGUGACUUUGGUCCAGCUGAUGCUUAAGCUACAUGAUUACUUCUAUUUUUUUUUUUUCCAUUUUCUGAAUUCCACAUUUUUACUUGUUUGUUUUUCUUUGCUUUGUUCUUGAUGAUGAUAGCAACUCUAAAACUGGGCAAAAUACGUCUUCAUAAAUAAAUCCUUUGGAAGUGGUUGUUUUAUUGAAUAUUCUUUGUUUCCGCUGGCGUUAAUUUACUGUACGUUGUUGUGACCGAGAGAUGGCUCUUCUGCAACAGCAUCUUUAAUUGGAUGAGCUGAAGCUCAGAUUUUUAGUUGCUACUGGUGACAUGUAUUUUGAAUUGCUGAUUUCAAGUCAUGGUUCAUGUUUAUACUGCUUCCGGUCAAAUCUCUUCCCCUUCGGUUCUAUCUUUCAAUGUUGUAGCUUUGGUGACAAACUCAGAGGAUGGAUUGUUCUAUCUUCAUGUUAUGGGGUGUAUGAUUUUGGGUAAUUCAACAUGGAAGAAAAUUGGCUGGUUGCUGCUGUGCUCCUUCGACUCAAGUUGGUUUGUCAAAUCUAUUGAAUCAUAUGCUCAAUGGAUCUAUGUUUUCAUGCAACUUGUGUGGGUGUCGGGUUUUGGGCUAACUUAGAUAGGAUAUCCCCUGUCAAAACUGAAUUUGUUUACUUUAUAUUGGGAGAGCUCUUGCAUUCACAAACAGUUCAGUAUGUGUUGAAAUUUUGUAUCCUCAGGUGCCAUGUUUAGAUGUUCAGCCUGAAGCCAUAUACGGUCUUUUAUGGUAUUUGGUGGCUGUCUGGUUUGAUCCAUCAAUUUGAGGUUUUUGGUUUUCUCCUGUUCGUUUUAUUUAUCCAGGUUAGAUUAUUAUUUUUAUUCUUGUUGCCCUUCUGAUGUGUUUAGGAGCUAGACAUUCAUAGAGCGUUUUGCAAGUUUUUGUUUAUUUGUGUCUUUUUGUUUUUUUCAUAAAAUCCAGGCCCUUUAGAAACUGUAUCCAUUAUUUAGAGAAAUAUAUAUUGCAUGCACCUGUUAUCUAUUUUGAAAUUGAUCAUAUUUGUUACUUCCAGAUGGAGUAUUUACAUGAUAAGCAAUGGCAAAGCUGUUCUGUUAUCAAGGGACUUUUGAGAUGCUAAUUUAUCGAGAGAGAGAGAGAGAGAGAGAGAGAGAGCCAUUGAGACUUCCACAUGCUUUGAUGAACAACUAGAAGCUUUUUAUUUACAAGUGAGGUGAUUUAUCCUCAACUUUGAUUUUAUUUGCAAGAUAUGUGAUUUAUACUUCUCACCAGAACUUUAAUCGUGUAUUAUAGAGAGUUGUAGUGAAGAUAUACUUGAGCUCUUUGAGAUUA